rnacentral:lncRNA from 1 species
CUGUCAGUCUAUUUAGCAGGACUUUGAGGUCAAGGUGCCCUACAUCUUAGGGCCCAUGCUAACAUUUCAGGUCAAUGUUUCAAAUUUUAAGGCUGUCUAAAGAAUCUUAAAAG